UGCCAUUUUGUAUUUCUUUGUUAUUUUAGGUUGAAAAAAUGUGGAUGACCAAUUAUAGGAAACGAUCAGCUGCAAAUGCAUUUAUUGUAAAUGGCGUGUUAUAUACUUUGCACCGAUAUGAUUCACCACAAACAAUGCUAAACUAUGCAUUUGAUACAACAACAUCUACUUUUUUUUGGCCGAAAAUUCCGUUCGAAAUCAAGUUUGGAUCAGUUUCAAGUCUCGAUUAUGACCACAGAAUGCAGAAGCUAUACGUAUGGGACCGUGGUCACCAGUUAUCUUAUGACGUCACAUUUAAAUGAAGGACAUGAGCGGCAGCAUAAAAAUAAAGAUAUGGAUUUGUCGAUCCUGAGGGCAUUGAAGCAAAAGCGUGCCCCGUGGUUGGCCUCGAACGUUCAACUUGUUUUAAGAGAAAGUUACGUUUCGAAAAUUUAAACUGUGAGUGCGGCUAGUUAGUAAUUCCAUUUUUUGUCAAUUUAUAGUAAUUUUAUUACUUUGAUAAAAAAUGCGCAAAGCGUAAUUAAAACAAUAUUUCUGUUAUGCUUAUGAAAAUUUUUGCAAUGUGUUGAAAAUCAGACCGAACUGAUAAAAACUCCGAGGACCAUUUUUAGUUGGGUGCUUUCAGUCCGAGUUUUUAGUAAAAUAACAAUGGCAAAGGUACGUCCGUGCAUAAUAAUGAAAGUUGGGGAAAACAAGACGCUUAACAAAAAAUAACAUCGCGUAGAAAUAAAUAAAAAUAUAUUUCGAAACAUAUGUAUUUUAUUCUGUCCACUUUUACUUUAUUUUUCAUAUAUUAUAAAAAAAAACAGAUCAAUGAUAAAUUUGUUAUUUUUUCUUACUGUGAUUGCUUGCUUUUGCCGCUGAUACGUGACAAAAUGCGAUUCGUGUGGUGAAUUAAAUAUUGAAAUUUUCUUGA